UUCCUAGAUGGGCUGCCUUCCAAGGCUGACGAGCCUGUUGGCUCGUCAGCCUACACUAUAUCUCAUGAUAGAGUGAUGAAUCAGAGCUCAGGAGGCCUGAGUUCAGAUCCCUGCUCAGCUCAUGGAAAUUCACUGGAGGUGUGGAAGUGUAUAACCACUCCUUAAAUAUUUCUGUUACCUUGAAGACCCUAUUAGGGUUCUUACUUGAUGGCACAUAAUAAGAACAGUUCUGAGAUAUGGACACCUAGUACCUGGCAUUAUCAGAAUGGAGAAAGAUGUUUAUCAGUGCUUUCAAACUUAUCCUGUUUUGAGAACACUGUAAGCAAAAUGAUCUGUUACCAUAUUGCCAUACACAAGUGGGUGAUGCAGCUUACUCUGAAGAAAUGCCUUGUGGAUUUAUUUCUAAUAAACUUGUGUCUGGGCAAAGCUGUUUCAGUACAGUAACGGCAAAACAUUGUGCCUAGCAACAUAAGGCAGUGCAAACAACCUUACACGUUUUACAACAAAUGGCUUAACAGAGAAAUAUUGCGACCUUUCUGUUUUUCUUGAAAGAAAAUGCAGUUGACUUGAUCUUCUAAUUCCUAAUUUGCUUACAGAUAAGCUGGUCUUUGAAUUCUUGAAGAAGUAAUUAGGAGACCUGUCCCUACAGUGCUCAUGGAAACCUUCACAACAUUUCUUAAGGUUGCUGAGUUUGCCACUAAACAACUUACUGACAUAUUUCUCCUGGAGUGUGCAAUAGGAAAGAUGACUUCACAGGUUUUGAACUUUUCUGAGGCUGCACAUUCAAGCAUGAUUUUACAAUGUUUGAUAUUCGAUAUUCUGCUCACCCAAUUCUUUAGCCUUGAGAAGGAACAGCAAGUUACCUCUGUAAACAUUCCCAUGGGAGAGUUCCAUCUGAAAACUUUUACAGAGGUGACAUUAGAUGUAAUCCUGACGGAACUGAAUAAAGUGGUAGAAGAGGACAUGGAAGAUCUCUUGAUAUGUGAAAGAGCAACUGGGGAAGAAAGGAAACUGAAGUAUGUUAACAGAAGCUCCUAGAAACUGAAAAGGGAAUGGUUAAUACUGUAUAAGGUAAUGAUCCUUCAGAAUGGAAUUGUUAAUGAAGUGGCUCCCCAGGUUUAUCUGUAUUGUAUUUUUUGAAUGUGAUGGACUUAAUUCAUUAUAUAUCUUUCCUGUACUUAUUGAUGUAAACCUGCACUUAAAUUUGUACUAUAUUAUAAUGCAAUAUUUGAAAGAAUAGAGAGCAAAAGAGCUACUGAUUAAUGUAUUGUUUUCGCGAUGUCUAUGCUUCUUCUGCGGAUACUUACAUAUUUGUGUGUGUGAUGGAUAUUAUUUUAUGUUUAUUUUAAUUCCCCCUGUGAUUCAAGAACAAACAGGAUACAAAAUGUUUGAACAUGACAUUUUAAUUAAGAAUAAACAUGUUUAAAUUAUUUGGCUGCA
rnacentral:lncRNA from 1 species